CCCCUUUGAUGAGUUGCCAUGCUAAUUCUGAGACACCAGGCAAGGAGUUUUACCCUGCAUUGGGUGUUAUUGAUAUAAACUCUACUUCUCAUAACUCUACGUGAGGGGC